GGAAUACAUGGAGUCCAGCAUUUGCCGCUGGCGUGGUUUGUCGGGAGACAUGGGGUUUUGGAAAGAAUUAGAUGGGGAUGAAGCUUAGGGUUCUAACGAGUGAUAUGAUCGGAGAAAUAUAUCAGAAGGUCCGAAUUUUUUUUUUUUUUUGGGGGGGGAGGGGAGGAGAGGGGGAGGGAGAGAAGGGUAGAGAUUAAAACUCGGUUCCCCCAACUCCUUCCCUGGGAAAAUUACAGGGCCUAUGGUUGCAAACAAAAGAGCUGAACAGGAACUCCCACCAGCAACCUGUAACUUGUUCUGUUUGCUGACAAACCUGAUUUUUACAGGAUCAGAACUAAAAGGCUCCCCGGUUAGGACAAUCUGAUGCUCUGUGCCCAGGCUGCCCACAGUUAAAACAAGCACCUCCAAAGCUAUCUCGAGGCGAAGACCUGCUUGAUCUUCCACCGUUAAUCAGCCAAUCAUCACUGUUGCUUCUUGAAUAGCUCCUGCUUUUUGAAUAGCUUCGGCCACCUCGCUGUCCACGCCUAUAUGUAUCUUCAUCAUCAUCAGAAAAAUCUCGACCAGCACCCCUACCCCGGGAGGCUCUAAAACCUCUCUGGCCCCCCCUACUGCCUCUGGCACUACUGCCCCUAGCAGAUUGAUCUCUGCUAGAAAACCUGCCAUAGUAAUCACUAGGAGGCCCAUCAUCUUGUAAUGAAGGCAACUUUGUGAUUUUGGAAAUAUUGUUUCCAGGUGGUAAUUGCUUAUUCAAUAACUCUUUAGCAAUCUCCUCUGGAAGAUCAAAAACUGCCCCUUGAAUCUUUUCAUCAGCAAUUAAAUAUAUUUUUCCAACUUCGUCUGCUGCAGCAGUAUAAACAUCAGAAAGAAAACCAGUGACAGAUCUAACAGACAAGUAUCCUCUAGAAUAACUUGGAUCCCGUGUCAACUGCAAUGUUAUCCAUCCCUGCUCAUGGUUAAUGAGAGAUCGGGAUGAAGGAGGCUGGGAAAAUCCACUCAAAUGUGCAAGUGCAGCAGCAAGAGCACUUGUGCCUUGUUCUUUAAUCAAUUUCUGGGCAGUUGGGGUGAAAAAUUCAACAGACUCAGCGUGAACUCCAUUUAGAGUUGCAACCACUUGCUCAGCUGAUGACUCCAAAACCUGCUCAGUUGCUGGUGGACUAACAAACUCAAACUUGCACCCCACAUCACGCUCAAGAGAUCUAACUGUCCUCCUUUGACUACUACUGAACAUCAGAAUGGCAGUACCUUCCUUGCCUGCACGUCCAGUACGACCAGACCGAUGCACAAAAGUUUCAGGAUCAUUGGGAAGUUCAUAAUGGAUAACCAAAUCAACAUUUGGAAUAUCAAGCCCACGAGAAGCAACGUCUGUGGCAACAAGCACUGUAAAUUUUCCUUGCCGAAAGCCAUUUAAAGUUCUCUCUCUCUGGUGCUGAGAUAUAUCUCCAUGCAAUGCCUCAGAAGCUAUACUAUUUGUUAAUGCCAUUGAGACUUCAUCAGCAUCUCGCUUAGUCUGAGUAAAGAUAAUAGUCUUCCCACCCUUUGCAUAAACUGUUACAAGAUCACCAAGAAUGCUCCGCUUUGACGUUGCAGUGGAAGACACGGCAUAUAGUUUGAUUCCUUCUGCCAACUUUUCCUCUUGGUCACCAACCAAAUCAAUUUGAAGAGGGUUGUCCAAAUAUUUCCUCGCCAAUUUUUUGACCCAAGUAGGCAUUGUAGCAGAGAAAAGCAUACUCUGUCGUUUUGAUGGAAGAUUUUCUAAAAUUACUUCCACGUCCUCCUCAAAUCCAAAUGAAAGCAUUUGAUCAGCUUCAUCAAGGACCAAGUACUCAACUUCUCCCAAUCUAAGGCUAUUGCUGUUGAUCAAAUCAAUUAUUCGACCUGGAGUUCCAACGACAACAUCAACCCCAUGGGAAAGAGCAUUUCGUUGCGUAAUAUAUGAAACUCCUCCAUAAACACAAACAGUGUUCAAGUAAGGUGCAGACUCAUUAAUUUCUUUCUCCACUUGCUUUGCUAAUUCACGAGUUGGUGCUAGGACCAAAACUCUAGGAAGCCGGCCAGUUCGGCUUCGUGGACUUAGUUGUGUCGUAUCUUCUGUAAGGUGUUUAAGUAUUGGGAUCCCAAAGGCUAAUGUCUUCCCUGUCCCAGUCUUUGCCCGAGCAAUGAGAUCUCGACCUUCUAGUGCCGGAACUAAAACAGCCCUCUGAAUGGGGAAAAGAUGAGUAAUUCCACGUUUCUCAAGGGACUCAACAAGUCGCUGGGGCAAACCCAACCUAGAAAUGGCAAGUUCAUCUUCAUCAGGAAGACUGUCACCACCGGCGGUCUCAGUUUCAGACUCAUAGACCCCGCUUCUGACAUCAUUAUCACCAUCAAAAUCAGAGAGGCGACCACUGAGGCCUUUGAAGGCCUCUUCACUGAGAAUAGAAUUGGGAGUGGCGAUAGCAGAAGGAACAAAAGAAAGCCGAUGUUUAUAGUGGGCACUGCUCUGAAGAACCAAGAGCGGUCUCCCUCCUCCUCCGCCUCCGCCUCCACCUUCACCACUGGUUACCAAAGAAAUGAAGUGAGGCUUCUCAUACAAGGGUAGGGGAAAAGAAAAAGAGGAUAAAGUGGGGGUUGCCGUGGUGGGAGUACAGAAUAUAGAUGAAACUCCAAUGGCUGAAGAAGCCAUUAGUAUGGGGAAAAGUCAGCCCGGGAUGGAAGAGAGGAAGUGAGUAUGGAGAAGAAAUGAGAAAGAGACUGAGAGGGAGGAUAAGAGCAGUGUGUCAGAGAAAGCUCUUCCCUUGAAAAUGUAAGGACUCCCGCAGGUCCACCUCGGUUGCUAUCCUGUUUUCUCCACUCCCAAUAUAUUUUGCCGU
rnacentral:misc_RNA from 1 species